AUGCGUUACUGAGCAUGUCCGGUGCCCGAAGGGGCGCUUUGGACGCCAGUGAAGCGAGGAGAGGCGGAGAAGGAACCGAGCGGGCAGUUGAGGGAAAUCUCGGAGGAGGUUACCUGCGAUCAAACUGGGGCUGCGUAGUGUUAGGGUCAGGCAGCUUUGAAGUGGAAUCCGGAUCCGCCACUCUCGCUGCGUGAUAUUGGGCAUGCCAUCAAAGCGCUCUCAACCGAACGUCUCGGGUAAAAUGGGAUUAGUGAAGUCUACCAAGGUAGUUGUGAGGAUCAAAAGAGAUAACGCGGAAAACGCCUCACCUGGCACGUUAUAGAUCCUAAAUGCCUAGCUAUUAUUAUGGAGCCCACAACCUCCAUAUUUUACAACUGGGAACACGGGACUCAAAGAGAUUAAAAAACUAAAUGACUCACUCAAGGUCAGGUAGUGGUGGAGACCCAGGCUUCAAGUUCAAUACUCUUUGUCCUACAAAGCCUUCCCUUAAGCAGGGGUAAUAAAACAUUUCAGAAAAACCACCUUAAAGAGCAUCGCUUGUGAUCUGUGGAUCACUUGGUAGUCCCCACCUCCCUCCCAUCCCCGCAAAGGUUUAGAGCUGGACAUAAGGGCCUUGGUGCAACUUUUGGAGGGCAGUUGUUCAGCUUCUGAAUUUGCAUCUGAACGAGCAAUAAGGUGGGGUGCUUUCCUCAAUUCCCUUGGGGCCCCUACAUUUUGGUUAAGGUGUAAACAGCAAGGAGCUCCAGGUCCUCCACGUCUCUAACUAGCUGAAGAAAGAUUAACUCAAUUAACCAGCAUUUACCCAGCAUCCAUCAAGUAGUAAGGUUUUCCCAGCAGGCAAGGAGCCUGUGACCUCAGGGCUGUGCAGGCAGGCACCUUGGGAUUCAGACACACUUAGACUUCCAGCCCAUUCCUCUAAUUUAGCUCUUAAUCACUUACUGCCAGGCAGUAUUUCUUGAAUGUUGUAGUACUAUGUAAUUUUAGCUAUGCUGUUAACUUUUUAAAAAAGGAUGUGUCUGUCUCCCUGUCUUGUAGCCCCAAACGUAUACUUGAUCUUGGUAAAGGAUGUCACCCAGUAUCUUAAAUAAGCCCUGAAGUUUCCCAUGUCCCAGGAAUUAUUCACUUGACCCUCCCAAGUUAAAUGCAGUGUCUUCCAAAAAAUCUUGGUGGUCUACUUCUUUGGAAUACAUUAGUAUCUUUUCUACAGCAUUUGGCAGCUACCUUGCUUUAAACACUGUUCUCUAGUUUUGUGUUCUACUAUUUAUGCAUAUUAUCACCUACAAAAAGUUUCUCUAACAUUCAUGUAUGAGUUGGCUGUUCAUAUGGAUCAAUAUAUCACUUAUUACCCAAUCCUUUAAGGCUUGAUUUAUUUUCCUUUCCCUUCAGAUUGUAAAACUCUUGAAUGGCAGGAACCCUGUCUAGUUCCACAUCGAAUUUCCAGCCUGUUCCUCAGUAACAGCACCACUCAACAACUAGCUAUUGAAUGGCUGAGUGAGCUCCCUGCCUAUCUUAUAAAAUUAUUAGGGGCAUACUUUAUUUUUAUAUUUAUAUCUCAAUACCAGGAAUUUUCUGGGAAGUUAAGAAUUUCCAAUAAAUCUUGGACUACUCUAAAAUGCACCAGAAAUUACGUGGUCACACUCGUGCAGUGAAAGAAGGCUUUGGCAGUAGCAUAAGACAUUAAGCAGAAGUAGGAAAUGCAGUGAGGAAGAAGUUGUAAUGUUUUCAACAGCUGCCACUAUGGAUCUAGGAUGAGAGCUUUCCACAUGUUGUUAAGAAUGAGAGACAGAUUACUCCAAGGUAGUAACUCCGGAACAAUGAAGGAGGAAGAAUGAAUGAGUUGCGCCCUGAAGAUGGUGGGCUCUCCUUUAUGCAUGAUCAUCACGAUCUCUCUGCAAUGUCUGUCCUGUGACCUCGUGAGGUGUGCAGCGUCAUGCCAGACAUCUGUGUUUGGAUGGCCCUCUGGCUCCUCCACAAUUACUGCAGAGUCAGAAGUGGAAUUUCCGCCUGAUGUUUUAUGUCAAAAUCAGUAUGAAAGACUGCAGCAUGCUGAGUGAGCUUUCCGUUCUCGCUGAGAUGCAAUGCAGGGUCCACCCUCUGCAGGCCACAAUUUUGCCUGGAGGCAAAGCAUUCAGUCUUUCCAUUGGCCUGACAAUUUGAGCCAAGCUUUGAGGCCAACAGACAAAAUGCACUAGCAACUGGAGAGGUGAGUUUUGUUAAAUUACAAUAACAUCCAUGCAUCCAGGGGAGCUGCAAAAGUCAUUCCUGUUCCUGUCAGAUGCACUCAAAAUCAACAGCCAAAUUAUUCCUGCCAAAUGCUCUGAGGCUAUUGAAUAGAGUCUUGCACUAUUUUAAAUAGUAACUUAAAACCUCUAGUUUCAUGGCUCAGUAAUAAUCAUGAUAAUUCUAAUCAGUAUCCUCAUUAGUGAAUGCUAAUAACUGUUUAUUGAGUGGCCACCAUGUGCAAGUGCUUUGCUAGAUACUUUAUGUAUGCCAGAUAUUUAAGCUUCGUAAUCGCUUUGUAAGGUGGAUGUUAUUAUCCUGUCCUAUCGCUGGAGAAACAAAUUCAGGACACGUAAGCAACUUGCCCAGUGUUACCACCCACAGAGAUGACGUCAGUGUACUUAAAGAAUACAUGGGCUAGGCACGGUAGCUCACGCCUGUAAUCCCAGCACUUUGGGAGGCCCAGGCAGGAGGAUUGCUUAAGCCCAGGAAUUUGAGACCAGCCUGGGCAAAAUGCAAAACCCUGUCUCUACAAAAAAAUACAAAAACUAGUGGGCAUGGUGGUGGGUGCCUGUAGUUCCCACUACAAGGGAAGCUGAGGUAGGACGAUCACUUGGGCCUGGGAGGUGGAGGCGCAGUGAGCUGUGUUUGCACCACUGCCCUCCAGCCUGUGCUACAGAGAGAUUCAGUCAAAAAAAAAAAAGGAAUAGUCUUUGAAAAAAAAUGGCUUAAGACUUAAGUAUGUAAGAGCUACUUCCUAGCUCAGGGAUAUUUUAAACAAGCCUUUUAUUAGAAAAUUGUAAACAUACAAAACUAGAGAGCUAUACUCAUCAAGCAGCUCCUAUCAGGAAUAAUUUGGAAGUAAAGGGUUUUGAAUGAUUUCUACCUUAUUUUUCUUGGAGGAGAGCCAAGUCCUUAAUAAGAAUUUCUGCAGAAGAGGAGCCUGGGGCUGAAUCUUAUUUAUAGAGGCAAAAUACUAUUUUUAUUUCAAUCUCACAUUCUUACUGUCCCCUUGAAUUUUCCAAUUAAUGCUGAAAUAGCAAAUAAUAUGAAGACUUAAUUUUGAGUCGUCUAGUCCUCCUCAUCCCUACUGCAAAUCCUCAGUUUAGGUUUAAGGCAGGUUUAUGCUGAGUCACAUAAUAGUCUCCUCCCUUGUUAUAAUCCACAGCAAGACUGCAGGGGUUCUUCAUAUUGUGGAACAGGCCUAAGUCAACUUAUGUUUAGCAAAUAAUUGAUUUAAACUGAGGUUGAUUCAGUGGUAUGCUGUAGCAUGCUCAUAGUGGCUCACAAGAGCUAAUUGUACAUGUCUCUUUCUAAUUUUACAUUUGAUGACAUGACACUGGUGACUUGAAAUUGGCCACGGUGAGAGUAUUUAUACCAUGGAAAUUGACAAAUGUACAAAUCAGGGCUUCUGUUCCUCCAGAGAGGCAGUUGUUAAAUAUUUAUCAGCACAUUACUGGGUAGAUUCUAUUAUUUGCUCAAAAGUAUCUGCUGUCCUUCACUGUGGGUCUACUCCCCACUACUCUUCCCUGUGAGACUAGUAUGUUUUUCACCCAUCAGAAGUCCAUCUUCGAGGGAUAAAAGACUACAAAUAUGGUGCAGUGUAUACUGCUUGGGUGAUGGGUGCACCAAAAUCUCACAAAUCACCACUAAAGAACUGACUCAUGUAACCAAGCACCACCUGUACCCCAAUAACCUAUGGGAAAAUUAAAAAAAUAAUAAAGUGCAUAGAAGGAAAAAAGAAAAAAAAGUUCAUCCUGACCACGUGACUUGCUUUGGUCAAUGGAAUGUAGCCAGAAGUACAUAUGCCA
rnacentral:lncRNA from 1 species